UACGUAGGGUGCGAGCGUUAAUCGGAAUUACUGGGCGUAAAGCGUGCGCAGGCGGCGCGUUAAGACAGGUGUGAAAGCCCCCGAGCUUAACUUGGGAAUUGCGCUUGUGACUGGCGAGCUGGAGUGUGGCAGAGGGAGGUGGAAUUCCACGUGUAGCAGUGAAAUGCGUAGAGAGUGUGGAGGAACACCGAUGGCGAAGGCAGCCUCUCGGCGAGCCACGUGACGCUCGAGUCGCACG
rnacentral:rRNA from 1 species